AGAUCGACCGGGUCCACCGCCCUGGUCACCAUCAGGUAGUUGCGGAUGAGUAUCUCGUGCCGGUUCUC
rnacentral:sRNA from 1 species